rnacentral:rRNA from 1 species
UACAGAGGUGGCAAGCGUUGUUCGGAAUUACUGGGCGUAAAGGGCGCGUAGGCGGCCUUCUAAGUCGGACGUGAAAGCCCCAGGCUUAACCUGGGAACUGCGUCCGAUACUGGGAGGCUUGGAUUCGGGAGAGGGAUGUGGAAUUCCAGGUGUAGCGGUGAAAUGCGUAGAUAUCAGGAGGAACACCGGUGGCGAAGGCGGCAUCCUGGACCGGCAUUGACGCUGAGGCGCGAAAGCCAGGGGAGCAAACGGG